UUGCAAAUGAUGAGUUAAAUCACCAUUGAUAAAAAGAAGCUCAAUUGAGCACUGUUGGAAAUCAAAAACUUCCAUGACUCUGAUGCAA
rnacentral:snoRNA from 1 species